AGCUUCGAAUAUUCGGUUCCCAAUUGGGCCUUUUUAUGGCUUUAACCCAAGCAUUUAUUACAUCACGGGAUUUCGGAAAUCUAAAACAUAAAUAUAAUAAUUAGGUGAAUUCUUAAAAAAAAAAACACUUUUGA